AGCAAGCCAUCUUCCGCUUGAAAGCUUUUAUUCUAUGAACUACACAUUGGUGAUUAUAAUGUCGAACUUAUGGCUGAUAUAAGUUUGUCAAAAGUUGGAAUCCAAGAAGAUAACAACAUACAAAGAGAGAGAAGAAACAACUAUUAGCGAUGUUGGAGGUGUAUACAAAGAGAAGAAGGAACAACCAUUUUAAUAUUGGUACAAAAGCUGUAGCUGUUGGUGCUGGAUGGCAAGGCAUAGUUGAACAUUGGGUGUUUCUAUACAUGUGGUAAUACCUAUUUGUUUUAUUGCUCAUCUACAAGAGGGAACUUGGAGUAGAGGGAAUCUGGACGGGAAUGCUAACAUGAACAGUUCU